rnacentral:lncRNA from 1 species
UUAUUCAGCUGGACUUGUUCUAUAGCCCGCGAAAGCCAGUUAGUUUAGUGAUUGAUGACCAGAAGUUUAUUUUAAUGUUUUUAGUUAUUACACCAAAAUUGAAUAUUGAAUCUUAUAAAUUGAUGUACUUUUCAUUUUACUAAUGAUAUUAACGUUCUUAGCAAAAAAAAAAAGUGUUACUCUUCAUUUAUCUUCAUUUUAUUAAUGAUAUUGACGUUCUUAGCACACACAAAAAAAAGAAAGAAAAAUGUAUCUUGUAAAUUUAUUUAUCUGUAUCAAUUCCAAAACUGUGGGUUGAGGUGGGUUUGUGAUAGACUCUCUCAACUGUGAUGUUGUAUGAACAAUUAGAAUUUUAAUAUUAUGAAAAGUUUACAUACGUAAACAUGAAACAGUGUUAUAUAUAUAUGGUUAUAAAAAUAAUUUUAAAGAAAACUCUGUGUUAUAUAUACAAUAUUUUUUUUUUAAAAAUGCUAGAAGGGAGUAGGGAAUGCAAGGAGGUGAGUGCAUAGAGCAUACGUACGUACUUUCCUUUACCUCCAAAAUAGGCAGCAAUCGUCAAACGCUAAUAUGAGCCGAGUCGAGCCUUUCUGAGCCGUAGUACCGUUCGAGAACUCCCACGUGUCUCAUCAAAGUAAUUGUAUGAUAUUUUUAUUUUCAUACACACUCCUUU